rnacentral:misc_RNA from 1 species
GAUGAAGAACGUAGCGAAAUGCGAUAAGUAAUGCGAAUUGCAGAAUUCAGUGAGUCAUCGAAUCUUUGAACGCACAUUGCGCCCCAUGGUAUUCCGUGGGGCAUGCCUGUUCGAGCGUCAUUUACCCCCUCAAGCUCCGCUUGGUGUUGGGCGUCUGUCCCGCUUCGCGCGCGGACUCGCCCCAAAGGUAUUGGCAGCGGUCGUGCCAGCUUCUCGCGCAGCACAUUGCGCUUCUCGAGGCACCGGUGGGCCCGCGUCCAUCAAGCUCACCCCCCCAGUUUGACCUCGGAUCAGGUAGGGAUACCCGCUGAACUUAAGCAUAUCAUAAGCGGAGGA